rnacentral:rRNA from 1 species
AGAGUUUGAUCCUGGCUCAGGAUAAACGCCGGCGGUGUGCCUAAUACAUGCAAGUCGAACGCACUGGCCCAACAGAUUAAAAGUGCUUGCACUUUUAUGAAGAUGGUUUACCAGUGAGUGGCGGACGGGUGAGUAACACGUGGGUAACCUGCCCUGAAGCGGGGGAUAACAUUUGGAAACAGGUGCUAAUACCGCAUAACUACGAAAACCGCAUGGUUUUCGCCUCAAAGAUGGUUUCGGCUAUCACUUCAGGAUGGACCCGCGGUGCAUUAACUAGUUGGUAGGGUAACGGCCUACCAAGGUGAUGAUGCAUAGCCGAGUUGAGAGACUGAUCGGCCACAAUGGAACUGAGACACGGUCCAUACUCCUACGGGAGGCAGCAGUAGGGAAUCUUCCACAAUGGGCGCAAGCCUGAUGGAGCGACACCGCGUGAGUGAAGAAGGGUUUCGGCUCGUAAAGCUCUGUUGUUGGAGAAGAACGUGCGUGAGAGUAACUGUUCAUGCAGUGACGGUAUCCAACCAGAAAGUCACGGCUAACUACGUGCCAGCAGCCGCGGUAAUACGUAGGUGGCAAGCGUUGUCCGGAUUUAUUGGGCGUAAAGGGAACGCAGGCGGUCUUUUAAGUCUGAUGUGAAAGCCUUCGGCUUAACCGAAGUCGUGCAUUGGAAACUGGGGGGACUUGAGUGCAGAAGAGGAGAGUGGAACUCCAUGUGUAGCGGUGAAAUGCGUAGAUAUAUGGAAGAACACCAGUGGCGAAGCGGCUCUCUGGUCUGUAACUGACGCUGAGGUUCGAAGCGUGGGGUAGCAACAGGAUUAGAUACCCUGGUAAUCCACGCCGUAACGAUGAUGCUAAGUGUUGGGAGGGUUCGCCCUUCAUGGCCGCCAGCUAACGCAUUAGCAUUAAGCAUUCCGCCUGGGGAGUACGAUCGCAAGAUUGAAACUCAAAGGAAUUGACGGGGGCCCGCACAAGCGGUGGAGCAUGUGGUUUAAUUCGAAGCAACGCGAAGAACCUUACCAGGUCUUGACAUCUUUUGCCAGGCUGAGAGAUCAGCUGUUCCCUUCGGGGACAAAAUGACAGGUGGUGCAUGGUUGUCGUCAGCUCGUGUCGUGAGAUGUUGGGUUAAGUCCCGCAACGAGCGCAACCCUUAUUGUCAGUUGCCAGCAUUUAGUUGGGCACUCUGAUAAGACUGCCGGUGACAAACCGGAGGAAGGUGGGGAUGACGUCAAAUCAUCAUGCCCCUUAUGACCUGGGCUACACACGUGCUACAAUGGGCGGUACAACGAGUCGCGAGACCGCGAGGUCAAGCCAAUCUCUUAAAACCGCUCUCAGUUCGGAUUGCAGGCUGCAACCCGCCUGCAUGAAGUCGGAAUCGCUAGUAAUCGCGGAUCAGCAUGCCGCGGUGAAUACGUUCCCGGGCCUUGUACACACCGCCCGUCACACCAUGAGAGUUUGUAACACCCAAAGCCGGUGGGGUAACCGCAAGGGACCAGCCGUCUAGGGUGGGACAGAUGAUUGGGGUGAAGUCGUAACAAGGUAAC